GGGUUUUGUCUCAGGUAAUAAAAACAUCAGAGUUUAUAGUCACUGUCUAGUAUAUGAGAGAAAAUUUAAAUUAAUCAGUCUCACUUAUAAUUAAGAUAUGUGAAGUAGUAGAGUCUCAAUGAUAUCAGCAUGCAUAGUGUGAACUAGUGUAGCACAAAAUUGAGAUCAGGAUUAAGGAACUUAGCUGAGAUUCAUGAUUACUCAUUCAGAACAUGUUUCAUGGUAUCUU
rnacentral:lncRNA from 1 species